rnacentral:rRNA from 1 species
GACGAACGCUGGCGGCGUGCCUAACACAUGCAAGUCGAGCGCGAAAAGGGCAACCUGAGUAGAGCGGCGCACGGGUGCGUAACACGUGGGUAAUCUGCCUUAGAGUCGAGGAUAACCUUCCGAAAGGUUGGCUAAUACUCGGUAAGCUUACGGUGUCUUCGGACGCUGUGGGAAAAGUAGGCCUCUGUUUACAAGCUUACGCUCUGAGAUGAGCCCGCGGCCCAUCAGCUAGUUGGCGGUGUAACGGACCACCAAGGCAACGACGGGUAGCUGGUCUGAGAGGACGAUCAGCCACACUGGAACUGAGACACGGUCCAGACUCCUGCGGGAGGCAGCAGUGGGAAAUUUUCCACAAUGGGCGAAAGCCUGAUGGAGCAACGCCGCGUGUGUGAUGAAGGUUUUCGGAUCGUAAAGCACUUUCGACUGGGACGAAAAACCUUUGGCUAACAUCCAGGGGCCUGACGGUACCAGGAGAAGAAGCACCGGCUAACUCUGUGCCAGCAGCCGCCGUAAAAC